rnacentral:tRNA from 1 species
AGGCGCGUAGCUCAGUUGGUUAGAGCACUACCUUGACAUGGUAGGGGUCGCUGGUUCGAGUCCAGUCGUGCCUACCA